AUUGAACGCUGGCGGCAUGCCUUACACAUGCAAGUCGAACGGCAGCACGGGAGCAAUCCUGGUGGCGAGUGGCGAACGGGUGAGUAAUACAUCGGAACGUACCUGGUAGUGGGGGAUAGCCCGGCGAAAGCCGGAUUAAUACCGCAUACGACCUGAGGGUGAAAGCGGGGGAUCUUCGGACCUCGCGCUAUUGGAGCGGCCGAUGGCAGAUUAGGUAGUUGGUGGGGUAAAGGCCUACCAAGCCUGCGAUCUGUAGCUGGUUUGAGAGGACGACCAGCCACACUGGGACUGAGACACGGCCCAGACUCCUACGGGAGGCAGCAGUGGGGAAUUUUGGACUAUGGGCGCAAGCCUGAUCCAGCCAUGCCGCGUGCGGGAAGAAGGCCUUCGGGUUGUAAACCGCUUUUGUCGGGGAAGAAACGGUGGAGGUUAAUACCUUCUGCUAAUGACGGUACCCGAAGAAUAAGCACCGGCUAACUACGUGCCAGCCGCCGCGGUAA
rnacentral:rRNA from 1 species